rnacentral:rRNA from 1 species
AGGAAAUAGAUACCCGGGUAGUCCUGGCCCUAAACGAUGAAUGCUUGGUGUGGCGGGUAUCGAUCCCUGCCGUGCCGAAAGCUAAACGCAUUAAGCAUUCCGCCUGGGGAGUACGAUCGCAAGGCUGAAACUCAAAGGAAUUGACGGGGGCCCGCACAAGCGGUGGAGCAUGUGGUUUAAUUCGACGCAACGCGAAGAACCUUACCCAGGCUUGAACUGCAGAUGACAUCCUACGAAAGUAGGCUUCCGCAAGGACAUCUGUAGAGGUGCUGCAUGGCUGUCGUCAGCUCGUGUCGUGAGAUGUUGGGUUUAAGUCCCGCAACGAGCGCAACCCUUGUCUUCUGUUGCCAUCGGGUUAUGCCGGGCACUCUGAAGAGACUGCCGGUGACAAACCGGAGGAAGGUGGGGAUGACGUCAAGUCAGCAUGGCCUUUAUGUCUGGGGCCACACACGUGCUACAAUGGCCGGUACAAACCGUCGCGAUCCCGUGAGGGGGAGCUAAUCGGAGAAAGCCGGUCUCAGUUCGGAUU